rnacentral:pre_miRNA from 1 species
AGUGGUAUAACUGGGUCGAAUGGUGGUUCCAUUCCAGGCUUUCUGAGAAUCUCCAUACUGCUUUCCAGAGUGGUUUUUACCAAUUUGCAGUCCCAUCAGCAAU